CGGAGCCCGCUGAACGGCGGGGCGGGGAGGGGACGCGGGGCGCAGACGAGGACAGGGACCCGGAGUCCCAUGUGCAGGGCAGCGUCGGUGUCAUCACCGUCCCCAUGCUUAUAUAACAGCACUCAAGAGGAAACUGCUAACAAGCCCAUCUGAUGGUUUGUGCCAGCUGUUUUAGUGGAGGCAUGCUGGAUGCAACUGAGCUCCACCUUCUUUGUCGAGCAAAGCCUUUGGAAAAUGUCACAGUCUGAAGAAUAUUGGGCAUUCAAAAUCUGGCUCCAAAUUUCCUCAUGAACCAAUCUGCUGCUCUGCACC